rnacentral:lncRNA from 10 species
CAGUGACAGAGCAGGGCGCGCAGCCGCUGAGUGCUCUGGAGUCCCUGCCCCGAGGUGCCACGCCCACGUCGGCCUCACCCGGGCAGGCAUGGGGCGGUCGGGCUUAGCGCCGCACCCCGCCGGCCAGAGCCACUGUCUCUCCAGACGCGGCCCCAGCGCCCACUGGGGAUGGCAAAGACGACAUCCGGUGCGCCGAGGCUGCUCACAAAAUCACUCACCUGUGGCGCCCUUGGCCGCUCAGUCAAGGCUCUGAAUAUCCUGAGACUGCCCCACUGCUUGGAAGCCCCGGACACCAGAGAGUUUCCUGUAGGUCCUCCAGCCGAGCCCGAUGACCCCGGCAGGCCCGGGAGUGAUGUCCCCCUCUGGAUGAUCCCAACCCCUUGCUGUGGAUUCAGCCCCAGCCGUUGUUGUGUCUUUUGGGGACCUUGUCAGUUGCCUUCCAAGUGCUAAUUCUCAUGACGAGAUAAGAAUGGCUAUGACUGGGUGUUGAUUGAUGAGUCGAACACAUUGAAUCCUGGAGUUUGAGGUUAUCAGAACUCCCCACUUAGAAAAUCAUCCUUUAUAUUUUAGAAAAUCAUCAUUGUAUGUUGAACAUACAAUGCUUCUUUUUUCUUCAUCUCCAGUGCACUGGUCUAGAGAGCGGCAGUUGGACCCCAGAGUGUGGCACGUGUUCCUGUGUUCAUUUGAACAUUCUCUGAUGACCUGUCGCUGAGGUCCUGUGAUGAUGCGUAUCCUGUCUUCCACCCCAACUGCCACUGUGUUUCAACUGUCGCUGGCUGUGUUUCAACUGCCGCUGUGUUGGAACUGCCAGCUAGACUGCUCACCAAAAUGGGAGGCAGCCUCUGCUGCUGUGGUGAAGGUGAAGGCUUCUUCUACCGCCAGAAUUGGCGGUUUCUCUCGCUGGAUUCUUGGGACCUGAUCCAGGCAGCACACUCGACACACUCAGCGAUUCAGCUCUACAGUAUGCACUCUGGGAUCUCCCAUUUGCUAAGGAAGGAUCUUAGCUUUGAGAAAGGUGUCAAGCCUGUGGCAGCAGAGCUUCCUGGGGAGUCCUCAGAGCAAGUCAUUGCCAUUGUCGAAGUGUCUUCUAGGCUUUAUUUUGGGGCCAUUACCUCGAGCACUGUUUCUUGUCUGGUUUCCUAAUGUCAGCAACUGAAGAAAAGACCUGUAUACACAGGACACAGCAUGGUCUGACGCUCACAGUGUUUUCCUUUCUCUCUGCAGAGGGAUUCAGCACUUUGGGCAAGUGGUUGCACAGAGGAUCCCGUGGAAGAAUUCAUAUAUGAAUCAGAUGAGAAUGCCCCAGGACCAUCGUAGGUCAGGCCACCUGCUUUUGUCAAAGAAAAAAGAUAACCCCUAUUUGAAUUAAAAUAUGAGAAUCUGACCAUAUGUAUCAUAGGUGACUUACACAGUGUCCUUGGUAAGGAGAAUUUAGAGUGAGAGUCUGUUCCCCACUGAGGUUUGAUUUAAGAUGGCAGAAGAAAAUGACAUCAUCAGCCACUCAGCAGCUUGAUUCUCUCCUUGGGGCAAAAUCACUUAAUUGCCAAGCAACAUGGACUUACAGGAAACAUCCUCCAAUAAAAACUUAGGUUUUUAGCAUGAUUCGAUACCAACAAGCCCUCUCCCGGCACCUGCAGAAAAAGUGGGGAAAAUCCCCGAAGAGGCAGAAACAAAACCUAGUGAGCUGAAGGAUGAGGCUGCUGAAGAGCCUGAGCUCACUUGUUGUGGCCUUUGUACUUAUGCUGGAAAUCCCUAAAGAUUCAUCCGGAAGGGCCGCCAGCCAGUGGAUUUCCCGGGCCCCUCAGCCCUCUGGAGUGUACGAGUUUUGGAGAAACCUCUUCCUCUGUAUAUGCUUUUGACUUUCCUGGACUGAUGUAAAAAUACUCUUUUCUUUGACCUGUUUAUUUUUAAGACACGAUGUGAUUGUGUCAGCUUAUAUUUUAUUGCUGAAGUAAAUUUUCAAAUGUUUUAUUAGUUUUUUUUGGAUCUUUGUCCGCUCAUUUUGGAGUUUUUGUAAUUUUGAUAGGUGUUCUUUUAUGCUUUGUAUUGUUUUCUUAAUGACUUUUACCUUAGUUUUUAACAAACCCAUAGUACAGUGUUAUACCCAAGCGAGUCAGAGAAAACGCCACACUUUGAGACGAAUUAAGAGUCCAUUAUUGGCCGGGCGCGUGGCUCAAGCCUGUAAUCCCAGCACU